GCCGCAAUUCGGCCCAGGCCAAAAUUCCCUAGCAUCUAGGAGCCUGUCCGACGGGGGAGCCCAACCCUAUCUUUCCGUUUUCCACAGGGUGAGCCCUCCCCACCUCGAGGGUCCGGACACAUCUCCCCCAUACCGCUUGCAAGCGCCGUCGUGACAUCACCCCUACGCCUCCCCCAUCCCAGUACCUCGCCGUCGACCCUGCAGCUCGCCGUCGUCCCUGCGCCUCCCCAUUCCAGGCAAUGAGCGCCACCGUCAUUGCUCCUCCCCAUCCUCCCCGUCGCCUCCCCGUCCAGACCGCAUCGCCUCCCCGUCACCCCCUUCACUGUCCAAGUGCCACCCCCUCUGCCUGCCGCUGCUGCUCCGUCUCCCUGUCCAGGCGCCGCCUCUCUGCCUCCAUCUCGUGAUGCUCGGCUGCCUGAGCAUAAUCCUAUGCCUUCGCCGCUGCCGCUCGCCGACCUGAUCGUACCGGCUCAAUCUCCACCACUGCUCCGUGACUGCCCCCACCUGGACGCCUUGCCUCGUCCUAAGAUCUGGUGAGCCC
rnacentral:lncRNA from 1 species